rnacentral:rRNA from 1 species
CCUACGGGGAGCAGCAGUCGAGAAUCAUUCACAAUGGGGGAAACCCUGAUGGUGCGACGCCGCGUGGGGGAAUGAAGGUCUUCGGAUUGUAAACCCCUGUCAUGUGGGAGCAAAUUAAAAAGAUAGUACCACAAGAGGAAGAGACUGCUAACUCUGUGCCAGCAGCCGCGGUAAUACAGAGGUCUCAAGCGUUGUUCGGAAUCACUGGGCGUAAAGCGUGCGUAGGCUGUUUCGUAGGUCGUGUGUGAAAGGCGCGGGCUCAACCCGCGGACGGCACAUGAUACUGCGAGACUAGAGUAAGGGAGGGGGAACCGGAAGUCUCGGUGUAGCAGUGAAAUGCGUAGAUAUCGAGAGGAACACUCGUGGCGAAGGCGGGUUCCUGGACAUUAACUGACGCUGAGGCACGAAGGCCAGGGGAGCGAAAGGGAUUAGAUACCCCAGUAGUC